UACGUAGGUGGCAAGCGUUGUCCGGAUUUACUGGGCGUAAAGAGCGCGCAGGUGGUUCGUCGCGUCGUGCGUGAAAGACCCCGGCUCAACUGGGGAGGGUCGUGCGAUACGGGCGGACUGGAGGCCAGUAGGGGGAUGCGGAAUUCCGGGUGUAGUGGUGGAAUGCGUAGAGAUCCGGAGGAACACCAGCGGCGAAGGCGGCAUCCUGGACUGGUCCUGACACUCAGGAGCGAAAGCGUGGGGAGCGAUCCGG
rnacentral:rRNA from 1 species